UGCAGAUUGUAUGUGACCUAGUGUUC
rnacentral:piRNA from 1 species